rnacentral:misc_RNA from 1 species
GCUACUACCGAUUGAAUAGUUUAGUGAGGACUCCUGAUUGGCGCCGCCGCCCCGGCAACGGAGCAGCGGACUGCCGAAAAGUUGUUCAAACUUGAUCAUUUAGAGGAAGUAAAAGUCGUAACAAGGUUUCCGUAGGUGAACCUGCAGAAGGACA